CAGAAUCCUUCUUCAGGUAAACUCUGCAAAGACUACGGCGUUCUGAAGUGGUUGGCAGUAUUGGGUCAUCGACUAGUGAUGGUUGAGUCGUCUUCAUCUGUCUCACAGAUUCCACUCCUGGCAGUUUAUCUAACUCCACAGGCCUCCUUCAUCACAACAGAUCUCCAGCUGUCAUAGCAGCCUUCCUCCUAGUGACCACAGCGAGAAGGGUUCCUCACCAACACACCAGGCCCUCCGAGGAAGCAGGAAAAGCGGCGCUCCAUUUUCCCUCACUUUCUGCCCUAUUUUGCUAGACUCGUAUCAGCACAGGUAAUACGGAC
rnacentral:lncRNA from 1 species